GUGUUCUGAGGGGGCUGGGGCUUUGGACCCAAAUGCCAAGGGAGCCAGCAAGGGCUGCGGCUGGCAUUAUGGGGGGGGCAGCUGCUGCCGCGUGUAGGCAUGAGGGCCAGCCCGGGACUGUGAGGG